rfam:Pseudogymnoascus sp. 05NY08 unplaced genomic scaffold scaffold_22, whole genome shotgun sequence.
GCCUGGGUAGCUCAAUCGGUAGAGCGUGUGACUCUUAAUCUCAAGGUCGCGGGUUCGAGCCCCGCCUCGGGCU